rnacentral:misc_RNA from 1 species
AAGUCGUAACAAGGUAACCGUAGGUGAACCUGCGGUUGGAUCAUUAAUAAAACCUUUGGGAACUCUGUUCCUGAACACUGUGUGCACUAUUGUCUGUCUCUGGCGGAACCAGGCGGGUUUGCUUUGGUUUUUGAGACUCUGGGUGUGUCCGGAAACGGGCUGCUCGGAGCUGAUGGGGACCAGGGUGGGCUCUCCCUCCGCCGAAUGUUUUUGAACCAACCCAUGUCUGUAUGUUUUUGUCUGAUCUUGGUUUCUUGGUCUGUCGCCCUCUGGGUGUGCAGCUGAAAUCUUUAAAACAACUUUUGACAACGGAUCUCUUGGCUCUC